AAACUCAAAUGAAUUGACGGGGACCCGCACAAGCGGUGGAGCAUGUGGUUUAAUUCGACGAUACGCGAAGAACCUUACCUGGCCUUGACAUACUAAAAAGCUUUAAGAGAUUAGAGUGUGCUAGCUUGCUAGAAUUUAGAUACAGGUGCUGCACGGCUGUCGUCAGCUCGUGUCGUGAGAUGUUGGGUUAAGUCCCGCAACGAGCGCAACCCUCGUGUUUAGUUGCUAACAGUUCGGCUGAGAACUCUAAACAGACUGCCUACGCAAGUAGGAGGAAGGUGAGGACGACGUCAAGUCAUCAUGGCCCUUACGGCCAGGGCUACACACGUGCUACAAUGGGGUAUACAAAGAGCAGCGAUACGGUGACGUGGAGCAAAUCUAGAAAAUGCCUCCCAGUUCGGAUUGUAGUCUGCAACUCGACUACAUGAAGUUGGAAUCGCUAGUAAUCGUAGAUCAGCAAUGCUACGGUGAAUACGUUCCCGGGUCUU
rnacentral:rRNA from 1 species